CCUACGGGUGACAGCAGUGGGGGAUAUUGCACAAUGGGGGAAACCCUGAUGCAGCGACGCCGCGUGUGGGAAGACGGUCCUCUGGAUUGUAAACCACUGUCCCCAGGGACGAAGAUGACGGUACCUGGGGAGGAAGCUCCGGCGAACUACGUGCCAGCAGCCGCGGCAAUACGUAGGGAGCGAGCGUUGUCCGGAAUUACUGCGUGUAAAGGGAGCGUAGGGGGAACUGCAAGUUGGGUGUCAAAUCUACGGGCUCAACCGGUAGCCGCACUCAAAACUGCAGUUCUUGAGUGAAGUAGAGGCAGGCGGAAUUCCUGGUGUAGCGGUGAAAUGCGUAGAUAUUAGGAGGAACACCAGUGGCGAAGGCGGCCUGCUGGGCUUUUACUGACGCUGAGGCUCGAAAGUGUGGGGAGCAAACAGGAUUAGAUACCCUAGUAGUC
rnacentral:rRNA from 1 species